ACAAAAAACAUCGGGGCUCGUUGGCAGAGCAACCGAAGGGCAACGAAACAAAACACAGCCGAGGGGUUGUUUUUGGCAAACAAAACAAAAAAGUCGGAUCGACCUCGAACGCCGAGCGACCAGGUCGCUAGGCCGAGGGAUCCGGCGAACUCGCUGGGUUUUCUCAGCGCCUUGGGCCGUCGAAGCCUCCUCCUCCGAGGGGCUCCGUCGCCUUAAGUACAGACGAGCUCGACCGCGACCCCGGGCUUCCGGAACGGUGGGUCGCUUCAUUCAAAAAGCACUCGGCAUCGUCGGGAGGUUGGCCUCGACGUUAUAAGCACCCGAGUAUGUACUUUCUCACGUAUACCAACAGAUUUCUUACACAAAACCCGGGGGCGGAGUCGGGAGGCUCUGCUUUUUUCGGGGGUCGGCCGGCGUACCUCGUUGCGCGCCGCGACCGACCGAAUUGGCAUCUUACUUUUUUGA
rnacentral:misc_RNA from 1 species